CCGAAUUCAUUUCUCUCCGACGCC
rnacentral:siRNA from 1 species